UCCGGAUUUAUUGGGCGUAAGGCGAGCGCAGGCGGUUUGAUAAGUCUGAAGUUAAAGGCUGUGGNUCAACCAUAGUUCGCUUUGGAAACUGUCAAACUUGAGUGCAGAAGGGGAGAGUGGAAUUCCAUGUGUAGCGGUGAAAUGCGUAGAUAUAUGGAGGAACACCGGUGGCGAAAGCGGCUCUCUGGUCUGUAACUGACGCUGAGGCUCGAAAGCGUGGGGAGCGAACAGGAUUAGAUACCCUGGUAGUCCACGCCGUAAACGAUGAGUGCUAGGUGUUGGGUCCUUUCCGGGAUUCAGUGCCGCAGCUAACGCAUUAAGCACUCCGCCUGGGGAGUACGACCGCAAGGUUGAAACUCAAAGGAAUUGACGGGGGCCCGCACAAGCGGUGGAGCAUGUGGUUUAAUUCGAAGCAACGCGAAGAACCUUACCAGGUCUUGACAUCCCGAUGCUAUUUCUAGAGAUAGGAAGUUACUUCGGUACAUCGGUGACAGGUGGUGCAUGGUUGUCGUCAGCUCGUGUCGUGAGAUGUUNNNNNAANNNNNGCAACGAGCGCAACCCCUAUUGUUAGUUGCCAUCAUUCAGUUGGGCGCUCUAGCGAGACUGCCGGUAAUAAACCGGAGGAAGGUGGGGAUGACGUCAAAUCAUCAUGCCCCUUAUGACCUGGGCUACACACGUGCUACAAUGGUUGGUACAACGAGUUGCGAGUCGGUGACGGCGAGCUAAUCUCUUAAAGCCAAUCUCAGUUCGGAUUGUAGGCUGCAACUCGCCUACAUGAAGUCGGAAUCGCUAGUAAUCGCGGAUCAGCACGCCGCGGUGAAUACGUUCCCGGGCCU
rnacentral:rRNA from 1 species